GAUGAACGCUGGCGGCGUGCCUAAUACAUGCAAGUCGAGCGAACGGACGAGAAGCUUGCUUCUCUGAUGUUAGCGGCGGACGGGUGAGUAACACGUGGAUAACCUACCUAUAAGACUGGGAUAACUUCGGGAAACCGGAGCUAAUACCGGAUGAUAUUUUGAACCGCAUGGUUCAAAAGUGAAAGACGGUCUUGCUGUCACUUAUAGAUGGAUCCGCGCUGCGUUAGCUAGUUGGUAAGGUAACGGCUUACCAAGGCAACGAUGCAUAGCCGACCUGAGAGGGUGAUCGGCCACACUGGAACUGAGACACGGUCCAGACGCCUACGGGAGGCAGCAGUAGGGAAUCUUCCGCAAUGGGCGAAAGCCUGACGGAGCAACGCCGCGUGAGUGAUGAAGGUCUUCGGAUCGUAAAACUCUGUUAUUAGGGAAGAACAUAUGUGUAAGUAACUGUGCACAUCUUGACGGUACCUAAUCAGAAAGCCACGGCUAACUACGUG
rnacentral:rRNA from 1 species